rnacentral:rRNA from 1 species
UACGUGCCAGCAGCCGCGGUAAUACGUAGGGUGCGAGCGUUAAUCGGAAUUACUGGGCGUAAAGAGUGCGCAGGCGGUUUUGCAAGACCGAUGUGAAAUCCCCGGGCUUAACCUGGGAACUGCAUUGGUGACUGCAAGGCUAGAGUGUGUCAGAGGGAGGUGGAAUUCCGCAUGUAGCAGUGAAAUGCGUAGAUAUGCGGAGGAACACCGAUGGCGAAGGCAGCCUCCUGGGAUAACACUGACGCUCAUGCACGAAAGCGUGGGGAGCAAACAGGAUUAGAUACCCUGGUAGUCCACGCCCUAAACGAUGUCUACUAGUUGUCGGGGAUUAAUUUCCUUGGUAACGCAGCUAACGCGUGAAGUAGACCGCCUGGGGAGUACGGUCGCAAGAUUAAAACUCAAAGGAAUUGACGGGGACCCGCACAAGCGGUGGAUGAUGUGGAUUAAUUCGAUGCAACGCGAAAAACC